rnacentral:rRNA from 1 species
GGCGNUCAGGAAAGUCUGGAGUAAAAGGCUAUGGCUCAACCAUAGUGUGCUCUGGAAACUGUNUGACUUGAGUGCAGAAGGGGAGAGUGGAAUUCCAUGUGUAGCGGUGAAAUGCGUAGAUAUAUGGAGGANCACCAGUGGCGAAAGCGGCUCUCUGGUCUGUCACUGACGCUGAGGCUNGAAAGCGUGGGUAGCGAACAGGAUUAGAUACCCUGGUAGUNCACGCCGUAAACGAUGAGUGCUAGGUGUUAGGUCCUUUCCGGGGCUUAGUGCCGGAGCUAACGCAAUAAGCACUCCGCCUGGGGAGUACGACCGCAAGGUUGAAACUCAAAGGAAUUGGCGGGGGCCCGCACAAGCGGUGGAGCAUGUGGUUUAAUUCGAAGCAACGCGAAGAACCUUACCAGGUCUUGACAUCCCGAUGCUAUUCUUAGAGAUAGGAAGUUACUUCGGUACAUCGGAGACAGGUGGUGCAUGGUUGUCGUCAGCUCGUGUCGUGAGAUGUUGGGUUAAGUCCCGCAACGAGCGCAACCCUUAUUGUUAGUUGCCAUCAUUAAGUUGGGCACUCUAGCGAGACUGCCGGUAAUAAACCGGAGGAAGGUGGGGAUGACGUCAAAUCAUCAUGCCCCUUAUGACCUGGGCUACACACGUGCUACAAUGGUCGGUACAACGAGUUGCGAGCCGGUGACGGCAAGCUAAUCUCUGAAAGCCGAUCUCAGUUCGGAUUGGAGGCUGCAACUCGCCUCCAUGAAGUCGGAAUCGCUAGUAAUCGCGGAUCAGCACGCCGCGGUGAAUACGUUCCCGGGCCUUGUACACACCGCCCGUCACACCACGAGAGUUUGUAACACCCGAAGUCGGUGAGGUAACCUUUUAGGGGCCAGCCGCCUAAGGUGGGANGGA